AUGUUUAAAAAUCAAAUGAUGUCCCACAUAAAUAAAAACAAGACAUUUUUCUCUAGCUUUAUUCACUUAAAACUGAACUAUCUGCCAACUCAUGCUUAAAACAACUACAGAAUGUGCUAGUUGUGAAAUAUAAAAUCCUACGUUAUUCACUAAAACAUGUUAAAGAUUUUUCUAAUGUAUAGAAAAAGAGGACAUCUACAGCUACAUCUCAUAAUGAAAAUUAAGUGUUUAAAAAAUGAUUCAUAAAACUACACUGGGUUGUGCAUGAUAAAUGUUUAGAUCUAGCCCACAUAAUAAAUUAUGCAAUGAAAACAUGAAUGUAAAACACAUGAGUCAUAACAAAAGUUCUUAAUGAAUUGCAGAAAUGUAUUGACCAACAGUAAUGCAUCACAUUCCACAGAAUAUGAUUUAGAUUAAUUUCAAUCAACAGAAUGCGACAAACUUUCAUACAACAUAAUAAUGUACAGUGAUCACCAUUUCACACAUUUUCCCACACACACUUAGUAGAUCUUAGCUAACAGAGAAACAUUCUUG